rnacentral:rRNA from 1 species
UUCUUAUACCUCUCAUUAUAAGUAAAAUCUGCUCCAUGUUUAAUAAAUAGCCGCAGAUAUUUCUGUGCUAAGGUAGCAUAAUCAUUAGUCUUCUAAUUAAAGACUAGAAUGAAAGAUUCAACACUUAAUUUAUUUUUUUAUUAAACUUAUAAAAUUUAACUAAACAUAAAAAUGUGUUUAUAAAAUAAAAAGACGAUAAGACCCUAUUGAACUUUACUAAAGUUAAGCUGGGGAAGCUAUUUAAAUAUAAUUUUAAUAUCCUUUUAUAAAAAAAAAGCCAAUAAAAUUGAUAAGCAAGUUACCAUAGGGAUAACAGCGUAAUAUUUUUUAAAAGUUCUUAUUUAAAAAGGGGGUUACGACCUCGAUGUUGAAUAAUAAAACUUUAAGACGUAAUAAGCUUAAAAGUAGGUCUGUUCGACCUUUAAAUAAUUACA